UCCGUAGGUGAACCUGCGGGAGGGUCAUUAAUGAAAUUCAAGGGCGCUCUUUUUAGAGGUCCGACCAAUUACAUUUUACCUUUACUCUGUGCACACACUACUCUUUACACCAUUUUUUAACUCUAUAGUUUUAAGAAUGUAAAACAAGUCUCGAAAGAGCAACAUAACAAAACAAAACUUUCGGCAACGGGUCUCUUGGCUCUCGCAUCGAUGAAGAACGCAGCGAAAUGCGAUACGUAAUGUGAAUUGCAGAAUUCAGUGAAUCAUCGAAUCUUUGAACGCACCUUGCACUCUUUGGUAUUCCGAAGAGUAUGUCUGUUUGAGUGUCAUGAAACUCUCAACCCCCUCAUUUUGUAAUGAAGUGAGUCGUGGGCUUGGGUUAUGGCUGUCUGUCGGCUUCAUUGCCGGCUCAGCUGAAAUACACGAGUAACCCAGUUUGAAAAACUGACGGCUUGACUCGGCGUAAUAAUUAUUAUCGCUGAGGGCGUCUAACCUUCAAAUCGUUAGUGGUGCUUCUAAUGCAAAUCAUUUUAAGAUUUAGACCUCAAAUCAGUCAGGGUUACCCGCUGAACUUAAGCAUAUCAAUAAGCGGGGGGAAAG
rnacentral:rRNA from 1 species